GACGUAGGGCGCAAGCGUUGUCCGGAUUUAUUGGGCGUAAAGGGCUCGUAGGCGGCCUGUCGCGUCGAUCGUGAAAACUGGGGGCUUAACUUCCAGCUUGCGGUCGAUACGGGCAGGCUUGAGGUAGGUAGGGGAGAACGGAAUUCCACGUGUAGCGGUGAAAUGCGCAGAUAUGUGGAGGAACACCGGUGGCGAAGGCGGUUCUCUGGGCCUAUCCUGACGCUGAUGAGCGAAAGCGUGGGGAGCGAACAGG
rnacentral:rRNA from 1 species